UACGGAGGGUGCGAGCGUUGUCCGGAAUCACUGGGCGUAAAGGGCGCGUAGGUGGCCUGUGGAAGUCUGCGGUGAAAGCCCGGCGCUCAACGCCGGGUCGGCCGUGGAUACUCUCGGGCUCGAGCUUACUAGAGGCAGAUGGAAUUCCGGGUGUAGCGGUGGAAUGCGCAGAUAUCAGGAGGAACACCAGUAGCGAAGGCGGCU
rnacentral:rRNA from 1 species